UGACCUCGGAUCAGGUAGGGAUACCCGCUGAACUUAAGCAUAUCAAUAAGCGGAGGAAAAGAAACCAACAGGGAUUGCCCCAGUAACGGCGAGUGAAGCGGCAAGAGCUCAAAUUUGAAAGCUGGCUCCUUCGGGGUCCGCAUUGUAAUUUGCAGAGGAUGCUUCGGGAGCGGUCCCCAUCUAAGUGCCCUGGAACGGGACGUCAUAGAGGGUGAGAAUCCCGUAUGGGAUGGGGUGUCCGCGCCCGUGUGAAGCUCCUUCGACGAGUCGAGUUGUUUGGGAAUGCAGCUCUAAAUGGGUGGUAAAUUUCAUCUAAAGCUAAAUAUUGGCCGGAGACCGAUAGCGCACAAGUAGAGUGAUCGAAAGAUGAAAAGCACUUUGAAAAGAGAGUUAAAAAGCACGUGAAAUUGUUGAAAGGGAAGCGCUUGCGACCAGACUCGCUCGCGGGGUUCAGCCGGCAUUCGUGCCGGUGUAUUUCCCCGCGGGCGGGCCAGCGUCGGUUUGGGCGGUCGGUCAAAGGCCCUCGGAAGGUAACGCCCCCAGGGGCGUCUUAUAGCCGAGGGUGCAAUGCGACCUGCCUAGACCGAGGAACGCGCUUCGGCUCGGACGCUGGCAUAAUGGGUCGUAAGCGACC
rnacentral:rRNA from 1 species